rnacentral:snRNA from 1 species
ACUCAUACCUUGCAGGGGAAAUACCAUGGUCAAGAAAGUGGCCUUCCAUUGCACUUCAGGUGUGCUGACCCUAUGAUUUCACCAAAUGUGGGGAACUCAACUGCAUAAUUUGUGUUAAUGGGGGACUGCAUUUGUGAUUUCCCUGG